GAAGGACUCAGUGCUGUGGCUGUGAGGAGCUGCUCAUGAAAAUCAGUGAGAAGGGUAAUUACUUGUGAUGAGUGCCUGGGGAUAUGCUGGUCCCAGCUUGAAUCUUUGGCUGAAGAGAAGAUGAUGAAGAUGGUUUUUACCUGAGCUCCAGACCCAAAGGCCUAAGUGGGACACAGCGGAAGGAAAUGAAGGAAUUCUGUGAAUCUCCGACAUGUGACAGUGCCAAACGUCUGUCAGAGACUUGUACUGUAACAGGUUUUAGAAUAUAACACUGCACAGCUGAUCUUGGCAAACAUCUCAAGGCUGAAGACUUGUCAUUUUGCUGAGGUCGCAGUGUUAAGGAAACUUCAGAUGUAUUCCUCAACAAGUAGUUGCCUGAUUUCUUCAAUGAAAUAACCAGAAGUGAACAUAGAAGGAGAAUAUGAAGAAGCAAUAGCCAUGCUAACUUAUUCCUGGAGAACAUCCUUGAUGACAUUCAGAUACAGGGGCAAAUAUGCUCAAAUUGAAGCAGUUUGUGCAGGAACAUAGCCAUGUGCUGAUCAACAUAAUUUGAUAAAGUGAUUUGAAAUGAGGCAUGGGCGUGAAUGAAGAAACAUCCCAUUGCUCUUAGCAUAAGGAGCUGGUCUGUGAUGAAGAGGCAUCUAGUUUAUUACUUCUGCUAUUAAGGUCUACAAACUCAUAGCAUUGAAAAUUGUAUUUCAGGCAAUGUGUCUUUGGUAGCAUGAACACAGGUAGACUGGAAUGGUAAGUGAGAAUGCAAGUAUGGUUAACUGGAGAAAAGCUUUUUUGAUGACCUUCUUCUGCUUCAUGGAUCUCCUUGAGCUGCAUUGUGGCUUGGUCACUGUCCCACCAAAUGACAUAGUCCAAAGCUGUGUUUCCAACACAGCUGUCUCAUGACUGGCCUGAAACAGCAAAGCUUCCUUCUUAAUGGUUUCAGGAAAAUAAUGCUCCCCAAAAGAGUUUGGUGGAAAGUUGUUGAAAGGUAAUAUAUCAUCAGAUCUACCACAGAUUGCUCCAGGAUGAAAUUGAAUGUGUUAAUUAUUGUCAUUUGAGAAGACCAUUUGACAGUGGAAAGAAAAAGGAAUUUUAAAAUUUUAGCGUAUCUAACCCAUCCUGUAAGAUUUGCAUGAAAAGUUCAGUUUGUUUUUAAGGAUGCUAGUUAUAAUGUAUUUGGAUUGUUGAUGAUAGAUUAAUACAGAUUGCUAUUUUGAAAUGGAAAAUAAGUUGAUCUUUAUGUUCUGGGUCAAAUCUUGUAUGCAAAAUCCUAACUGAUCAAUCUGGAGAAUGAUAUUCGUGUUCACCUCUGUGCCUUCAUGUACUAAUGUAACAAUUACAUCGCACUCUUUUGUAUAACUAGCGUGUUUAAUGCAUCUCGAAAAUGCCUUCUCAUGCCUACAGGUCCUUCAGCAAAGGUAGUCUGUACAUUUCAAAAGUCAAAAACAAUUUAUUUAAAUGACCUGUAACCUAACAUGUUUCAUGCUGCUAGAAAUCAGUAAGUCUGCUCUCCAGCUCACAAAGCCAACACUGAAGUUUAUUUUAGGAAAACAUGGUUUGAGGACAGUACUUUAGCAUGACUCAUAAUAGAGCAAUGUGAAGA